CAGCCAGCCUCAAGCUCUUCUCUCCAUUUCUUCCCUUGUUUCUUCCCUUUUAUCCUUCAUCUACAUGAAGUUCUUUCCUCUUCCUUCCCCAUAGCUGAAAUUGAGAUGGAUUGGUGAGUUGAUUCAAGAGUUCUAAGGAAAGGAAAUUUAGGUGUGAGAACCAAUGCCUUGGAGCGGGGAAAAUCCAACAAAAAUCAGGAACUAUAUACUUGAAUUGGUAGCAAAUUAGAAUCUCAAAAUUUUAAGGAGCGCUUAAAAACUCCAUGGAUUACACUAAAACAGAGUUGUGAUUGGAGCUAGGAAAUUGAAUCUCCAAUUAGUAAACUCAGUUUGGAGAAGCUGGCUGCAUGUUCAUUUUCCUUUCAACCUGAGAUUGUGGGGAGUGGUCUUUUGGAGAGUUAAGGCUCCGCAAUGGAGUUAUGGAGCUAGGAGUUUCAUUUGAGAGAUAAGUAAUCUGUUCAAGUGCAUCACUCUGCACAUCGAGACUUGCUACAACAUAAGUAAGGGCAUCUCUUAGACUUCCAAUCCUAGUCGUUCCGCUGCAUAGAGGUCGUGUUGUGUAAAAUAGUUUGACUCAUAAAGAUUAUCAGUCUAUCGAGAAUGUAUUUGCUAAACUUUGAGGUUGUGUAAUGAAUACCACCUGUGAUGUUAAAAUUAUUUUGGAGUCAUUAAGUCUGA